CUCUGUUUCCUUCUGGGUACCAAAUGGAAUACAGCAAAUUCCCGUUUUCUUCUACUGUUAUUGGUGCAUGGUGAAUAAUGUGACUGUGUAUAUUAUUCAAUUUAUGUUUCAUGUUUUCAGUUUUGUUGGGUAAUGUUUUUAUGUCCUAUUUAAAGGGGCUAUUUUUGUCUGGUCUGUGGGUCCGUCUGUUUGUUCGUUUGUCAAUUCUUUCGACCAUUCGUCCGUCCAUUCUUCCGGCCGUCCCGCUUCAGGUUAAAAUUUUUGGUCGAGGUAGUUUUUGAUAAAGUUGAAGUCCAAUCAAUUUGAAACUUAGUACACAUGUUCCUUAUGAUAUGAUACAUAUCAAUACAGAUCAAACCCUUUUUGAGUUGGGUUGGUUUGGGUUUAUUUUAUUUUAUUUUUUUUACUUUUUGUUUCCCCCUCGAAAAUACGUGACAUGUAGCGUUAAAUUUUACAUGCCUUUAAAAAAAAAACAAUGGCGGAUGCAGAACUUUUUUUUUCGCGACAGUCAUACUUUAGUGAUUCCCUUUAUAAUCAACCAAUUUUUUCCUACAAAAUAGUAGGUCUGGGCAAUCUAUCCCGCGUGGAUCCCCCUUUGUAAAUAUCAAAACGUACUGUACGACAAACACAUUU
rnacentral:lncRNA from 1 species